rnacentral:rRNA from 1 species
AUUGAACGCUGGCGGCAGGCUUAACACAUGCAAGUCGAGCGGAGCGAGGGUGCUGGCACCUUAGCUUAGCGGCGGACGGGUGAGUAAUGCUUAGGAAUCUGCCUAUUAGUGGGGGACAACAUUCCGAAAGGAAUGCUAAUACCGCAUACGCACUACGAGGGAAAGCAGGGGAUCUUCUGACCUUGGGCUAAUAGAUGAGCCUACGUCGGAUUAGCUAGUUGGUGGGGUAAAGGCCGACCACGGCGACGAUCUGUAGCGGGUCUGAGAGGAUGGUCCGCCACACUGGGACUGAGACACGGACCAGACUCCUACGGGAAGCAGCAGUGGGGAAUAUUGGGCAAUGGGCGGAAGCCUGAUCCAGCCAUGCCGCGUGUGUGAAGAAGGCCUUUUGGUUGUAAAGCACUUUAAGCGAGGAGGAGGCGCUCUAGGUUAAUACCCUAGAUGCGUGGACGUUACUCGCAGAAUAAGCACCGGCUAACUCUGUGCCAGCCGCCGCGGUAACAC